UGGGGAAUUUUGGACAAUGGGGGCAACCCUGAUCCAGCCAUGCCGCGUGAGUGAAGAAGGCCUUCGGGUUGUAAAGCUCUUUCGGCCGGAACGAAAUCGCAUCUCUUAAUACGGGGUGUGGAUGACGGUACCGGAAGAAGAAGCACCGGCUAACUACGUGCCAGCAGCCGCGGUAAUACGUAGGGUGCGAGCGUUAAUCGGAAUUACUGGGCGUAAAGCGUGCGCAGGCGGUUCGCUAAGACAGGUGUGAAAUCCCCGGGCUUAACCUGGGAAUGGCGCUUGUGACUGGCGGGCUGGAGUACGGCAGAGGGAGGUGGAAUUCCACGUGUAGCAGUGAAAUGCGUAGAGAUGUGGAGGAACACCGAUGGCGAAGGCAGCCUCCUGGGCCAGUACUGACGCUCAUGCACGAAAGCGUGGGGAGCAAACAGG
rnacentral:rRNA from 1 species